GAAAGUAAAAAAGGGCGCAUGGCGGAUGCCUUGGCUCUCGGAGGCGAUGAAGGACGUGAUAAGCUGCGAUAAGCUUUGGGGAGGUGCAAAUGACCUUUGAUCCAGAGAUUUCCGAAUGGGACAACCCAAUAUCUUGAAGAGGUAUUAUCCAACGUUGUUGGAGGCUAACGCAGGGAACUGAAACAUCUUAGUACCUGCAGGAAAAGAAAAUAAACAAUGAUUCCCCCAGUAGUGGCGAGCGAACGGGGAACAGCCCAAACCAUCCAUGUUACGGCAUGGGUGGGGUUGUAGGACUACGCCGUUGCAUGAAGACAUCAGAGAAGAACUUUCUGGAAAGAAAGACCAUAGAGCAUGACAGUUGCGUAUUCGAAUGUUGUCGAAGCAUAGUAGUAUCCUGAGUAGCGCGGAGCACGAGGAAUUCUGCGUGAAUCUGCCGGGACCAUCCGGUAAGGCUAAAUACUCCCGAGAGACCGAUAGCGAACCAGUACCGUGAGGGAAAGGUGAAAAGCACUUCGAACAGAAGAGUGAAAUAGUUCCUGAAACCGUGCGCCUACAAGCGGUCGGAGCUCGUUAAUGAGUGACGGCGUGCCUUUUGCAUAAUGAACCUACGAGUUGCCUUUGCCGGCAAGGUUAAGUGUGACGACACACGUAUCCGAAGCGAAAGCGAGUCUGAACAGGGCGUAUAGUCGGCAGUGGCAGACGCGAAACCAAGUGAUCUACCCUUGGCCAGGUUGAAGGCUGGGUAACACCAGCUGGAGGACCGCACCAAUAAGCGUUGAAAAGCUUCUGGAUGAGCUGAGGGUAGGGGUGAAAGGCUAAUCAAACUUGGAGAUAGCUCGUACUCCCCGAAAUGCAUUUAGGUGCAGCCUCGCGGGUUACUGAUGUGAGGUAGAGCGACUGAUUGGAUGCGAGGGCUUCACCGCCUAUCAAGUCCUGACAAACUCCGAAUGCGCAUCAGUUUUACCGCGGGAGUGAGGGCAUGGGUGCUAAGGUCCGUGCCCGAGAGGAGAAGAAUCCGGACUAUCAGCUAAGGCCCCGAAAUGACAGCUAAGUUAAACUAACGAAGUCUGAUUGCUAAGACAGCUAGGAUGUUGGCUUGGAAGCAGCCAUUCAUUUAAAGAGUGCGUAACAGCUCACUAGUCGAGGAGUCGGGCGUGGAUAAUAAUCGGGUAUCAAGUUGUCUACCGAAGCAGUGGGAUCAUUUAUAUGAUCGGUAGGGGAGCAUUCCAGUCAGCGUCGAAGGCGUACCGUGAGGUAUUCUGGAGCGUCUGGAAAAGCAAAUGUAGGUAUAAGUAACGAUAAAGGGGGCGGGAAACCCCCUCGCCGAAAGACUAAGGUUUCCUGAUCAACGCUAAUCGGAUCAGGGUCAGUCGGGUCCUAAGGCUCAGCCGAACGGCGAUGCCGAUGGCAGAAACGGUUAAUAUUCCGUUACUACCUUCAGGAGUGACGUGGAGACGCAGUAGUGACAGUGCCGCCAUCUGACGGAAUAGAUGGUUGAAGGGUGUAGGAGUCGAUCAUGGCAGGCAAAUCCACCAUGAGAUCCGAACCUGACAGUAUGCCGCGUCCUUCGGGACAAGGCAAUAGUGCGCGUAAGCAUGCUGCCGAGAAAAUCCGCUAAACUUAAUCCUGCAGGUACCCGUACCGCAAACGGACACACGUAGUCGGGAUGAAUAUUCUAAGGCGCUUGAGUGAUUCACGGUUAAGGAACUAGGCAAACUGACCCUGUAACUUCGGGAUAAAGGGUCCCUACCCUUUUAUGGGAGGGCGCAGAGAAUCGGUCCAGGCAACUGUUUAACAAAAACACAGGGCUGUGCCAAAUCGAAAGAUCCAGUAUACAGCCUGACACCUGCCCGGUGCUGGAAGGUUAAGAGGAGAUGUCAUCGAUAAGAGAAGCGUUGAAUUGAAGCCCCAGUAAACGGCGGCCGUAACUAUAACGGUCCUAAGGUAGCGAAAUUCCUUGUCGGGUAAGUUC
rnacentral:rRNA from 1 species